CUACGGGGGGCUGCAGUGAGGAAUAUUGCACAAUGGGGGGAACCCUGAUGCAGCAACGCCGCGUGGAGGAUGACGCAUUUCGGUGUGUAAACUCCUUUUAUAUGUCAAGAAAAUGACGGUAGCAUAUGAAUAAGCACCGGCUAACUCCGUGCCAGCAGCCGCGGUAAUACGGAGGGUGCAAGCGUUACUCGGAAUCACUGGGCGUAAAGGACGCGUAGGCGGGUUGGAAAGUCAGGUGUGAAAUCCUACAGCUUAACUGUAGAACUGCACUUGAAACUUCUAAUCUAGAGUAUGGGAGGGGGAGAUGGAAUUAGUGGUGUAGGGGUAGAAUCCGUAGAUAUCACUAGGAAUACCUAAAGCGAAGGCGAUCUCCUGGAACAUUACGACGCUAAGGCGUGAAAGCGUGGGGAGCAAACAGGAUUAGAUACCCUCGUAGUC
rnacentral:rRNA from 1 species